rnacentral:rRNA from 1 species
UACGGAGGGGGCUAGCGUUGUUCGGAAUUACUGGGCGUAAAGCGCGUGUAGGCGGCUUUGCAAGUCGGGUGUGAAAGCCCUCAGCUUAACUGAGGAAGUGCGCCCGAAACUGCAUUGCUUGAGUACCGGAGAGGAUGGCGGAAUUCCCCAAGUAGAGGUGAAAUUCGUAGAUAUGGGGAGGAACACCGGUGGCGAAGGCGGCCAUCUGGACGGAUACUGACGCUGAGACGCGAAAGCGUGGGUAGCAAACAGG